AUACUUACCUGGCAGGGUAACUUACCGUGAUCAAGAAGGCGGUUCACCCAGGGCGAGGCUCAGCCAUUGCACUCUGGCUGUACUGACCCCUGCGGAUUCCCAAAAUGUGGGAAUAUCGACUGCAUAAUUUGUGGUAGUGGGGGACUGUGUUCGUGCUCUCCCCUG
ensembl:snRNA U1 U1 spliceosomal RNA